UACGAAGGGGGCUAGCGUUGCUCGGAAUUACUGGGCGUAAAGGGAGCGUAGGCGGACAUUUAAGUCAGGGGUGAAAUCCCACGGCUCAACCGUGGAACGGCUGGGUAUACUGCCUGUCUUGAGCCAACUAGGGGCGAGCGGAACAGACGGUGGAGCGGUGAAAUGCGUAGAUAUCGUCUGGAACGCCAAAGGUGAAAACAGCUCGCUGGGGUUGUGCUGACGCUGAGACACGAAAGCCAGGGGAGCGAACGGG
rnacentral:rRNA from 1 species